AUCCUUUUAUUUUAUACGGGCAACACUGCUGCCACCGUGAUGACAACCCUAUGAAGAUUUUGACAGAUAGAGCGCGCGUUUUCUUCGUGCACUGAUAAACUAUGUUUUCUUACGAUUGUUAUUAAAAAUUGUGUUUUAAAAGUGAAUACAAGAAGUUAUUGUGAUACGAAUUGACGUUUUAUUUCUGAUGAAAGCUAGGAGAUCAUACCCUAGCUUAUAUCAGAAGCGGGAAGAACAGAAAACGCCUAGUUACCAAUGGGGCGCGAAUGCUCCGAAUGAUCUCGAAAUUAAUGAUCACGCCACACUAUGCGAAACACUUCUUUACGAAGACGAGAUGACCACAGCACUGAUUGCUCAACCGCAAUAAUGCAUCAAGGACUUUUCUACUCAAGGAAAACAAAGCGACAUGGUCAACAGGGGCACGAUUCUCCUAAUUUUACUUAAAAACAUUCGAUUUACGUUCGAUUGCGAUCCAAUCCCGACUCGAUUACGAUUGAAACCGCUCGUGAACGCUGAUGGUAUUGAAGAGUAAAACUGAAUGCCUACAAUCGGAUGAGAUUAUAACUGCGAAAGACUUGUGGAGCCAAUAAUGACGACGACCAGACAAGAUUCUUGUGUGUAGAUUACUGCUUGAUACACACUACGCCUGAUGGCGAUUAGACACCUCCACCGUGAUGAAACAUUUUACCAGGUACCCGAGACAUUGGACAAUCAGAUGGCUGGAAAGCAGGUGGCAAGUGAGAGUGCUUGGCCUCUGCAUCAGUAAAGAGAGGCAGGUGGCAAGUGAGAGUGCUUGGCCUCUGCAACAGUAAAGAGAGGCAGGUGGCAAGUGAGAGUGCUUGGCCUCUGCAUCAGUAAAGAGAGGCAGGUGGCAAGUGAGAGUGCUUGGCCUCUGCAACAGUAAAGAGAGGCAGGUGGCAAGUGAGAGUGCUUGGCCUCUGCAUCAGUAAAGAGAGGCAGGUGGCAAGUGAGAGUGCUUGGCCUCUGCAACAGUAAAGAGAAGCAGGUGGCAAGUGAGAGUGCUUGGCCUCUGCAUCAGUAAAGAGAGGCAGGUGGCAAGUGAGAGUGCUUGGCCUCUGCAUCAGUAAAGAGAAGCAGGUGGCAAGUGAGAGUGCUUGGCCUGUAAGCUUACAAUGUAGUAAAUGAUGUCAUUGCUUGAAGUUGUACAGUGACUGGCAAGUGAGAGUGCUUGGCCAGUGAAGCUAUGAAAAGAUAUGGUAACAAAUGUAGAAUAUAAAAAUAUUAAUAUCAGAUCUGUUUGAAAACUUGAUUACCCAGUAUACAUAUCUUUUCUUUGAAUUGUAUAAAUUAUUUUGCUAGUAAAAAUUGCACUAAAA